rnacentral:tmRNA from 1 species
GCGCUUCCCCUGAGACGCGCGCGCGCCUAUAUUCCGACUCGUCCGGGCAACCGGACUAUGGCGAUAAACGCGCAGAGAUAGGCGGAUCGGACCCGGGUGCGAUGCCCGGCGGCUCCACCAUUUCAGGUGUCAGGCGCCAAAACUCAGGUGUCAGAUUCAUUCGCUGAUACCCGACACCCGACACCCUCGUUAUGGGGCCGAAAUAGGAUCGACGGACGUUGAAGGCUGCUGCUUUUGCUCGGGUGGUCCCGUUACAGGCCGAACAGCAUAGUUGCGAAUGACAACAACGCUGAGGAAUUCGCCCUCGCUGCGUAAGCAGCGCGGAGUUUUCCGACUCUCAAGUCCUACCGAGUAGCAUCGCUAGGCGGGGCCCCCCGGCGCCCGGCAACAGAAGCCGGGGAUU